GAUGAACGCUGGCGGCGUGCCUAAUACAUGCAAGUCGAGCGAACAGACGAGGAGCUUGCUCCUUUGACGUUAGCGGCGGACGGGUGAGUAACACGUGGGUAACCUACCUAUAAGACUGGGAUAACUUCGGGAAACCGGAGCUAAUACCGGAUAAUAUUUCGAACUGCAUGGUUCGAUAGUGAAAGAUGGCUUUGCUAUCACUUAUAGAUGGACCUGCGCCGUAUUGGCUAGUUGGUAAGUAACGGCUUACCAAGGCAACGAUACGUAGCCGACCUGAGAGGUGAUCGGCCACACUGGAACUGAGACACGGUCCAGACUCCUACGGGAGGCAGCAGUAGGGAAUCUUCGCAAUGGGCGAAAGCCUGACGGAGCAACGCCGCGUGAGUGAUGAAGGUCUUCGGAUCGUAAAACUCUGUUAUUAGGGAAGAACAAACGUGUAAGUAACUGUGCACGUCUUGACGGUACUAAUCAGAAAGCCA
rnacentral:rRNA from 1 species